AAGCCAUGAUGAGGACACUUAUGGAACAAACCUUGAAAUCUCUCCCAUGACAUGUACAAUGAUUCCCCAUCCAUCUAUGCAAAACUCAUGAUUUGUUUCCUUAGUUU